UAGAGAGAGACAUGCGCGCAUAUCAAUAAGCGGAGGAAAAGAAACUAACAAGGAUUCCCUUAGUAACGGCGAGUGAAGCGGGAAGAGCUCAAAUUUGAAAUCUUCAAGGUUUUACCUUGACGAAUUGUAGUUUAAAGAAGUGUUUUCUGCUGAAGUUUUGGUAAAAGUUCUUUGGAAUAGGACAUCAUAGAGGGUGAGAAUCCCGUAUUUGACCAUUAUUUUCAGCUUUGUGAUACACUUUCAAAGAGUCGGAUUGCUUGGGAAUGCAGUCCAAAAUGGGUGGUAAAUUUCAUCUAAAGCUAAAUAUUGGCGAGAGACCGAUAGCGAACAAGUACCGUGAGGGAAAGAUGAAAAGAACUUUGAAAAGAGAGUUAAACAGUACGUGAAAUUGUCAAAAGGGAAGCGUUUGACACCAGUGUUGUUUUCUCGAAAAUCAAUUAAAAAUGGCUCGAUUUUGUUUGUUGAGACCUUAAAAGCUCACUGUACAUUUUUCGUGUCUUUUUUAAUGCACUUUUCGUUUAACAAGUCAACAUCAGUUUCUUUGUUGUAAAAGGGUCAUUGGAAGGUGGCUUUCUUUCGGAGAAAGUGUUUAUAGCCUUUGGCCUCUGCAAUCGGAGAGACUGAGGUCUGCAGCGUAGACUCUUCGGGGUUAGAUACAUUUGUGCUAAGUUAUAGCUUUUUAUAGACAACUUGUUGACUAUAAUUAGUCUUGUAGCUUACUCGCUUAUGCUAUUUUACCUACGCUUAGGAUGUUGAGUCGUAGAGCACGCAG
rnacentral:rRNA from 1 species